rnacentral:rRNA from 1 species
AUUGAACGCUGGCGGCAGGCCUAACACAUGCAAGUCGAACGGUAACAGGAAGAUGCUUGCUGCUUUGCUGACGAGUGGCGGACGGGUGAGUAAUGUCUGGGAAACUGCCUGAUGGAGGGGGUUAACUACCGGAAACGGUUGCCAAUACCGCAUAACGUCGCAAGACCAAGGGGGGUGCCACCGGGCGCUUUGACAUCGGACCAGGUCGGAUUAGCUAGUUGGUGGGGUAAGGGCACACCUAGGCGACGAUCCGUAGCUGGUCUGAGAGGAUGACCAGCCACACUGGAACUGAGACACGGUCCAGACUCCUACGGGAGGCAGCAGUGGGGAAUAUUGCACAAUGGGCGCAAGCCUGAUGCAGCCAUGCCGCGUGUGUGAAGAAGGCCUUCGGGUUGUAAAGUACUUUCAGCGGGGAGGAAGGGCAUAAAGUUAAUACCCUUGCUCAUUGACGUUACCCGCAGAAGAAGCACCGGCUAACUCCGUG